GAUGAACGCUGGCGGCGUGCCUAAUACAUGCAAGUCGAGCGAACAGACGAGGAGCUUGCUCCUCUGACGUUACGGGCGAAGGGGGGGGUAAACCGUGGAAACCUAACCUUAAGAACGGGAUAACUUUGGGAAACCGGGGGUAAUACCGGGAAAAUUAUUGAAACCCAUGGGUUAAUAGGGAAAGGAGGUUUUGCUUUUACUUAUAGAAGGAUCCGCGCCGCAUUAGCUAGUUGGUAAGGUAACGGCUUACCAAGGCAACGAUGCGUAGCCGACCUGAGAGGGUGAUCGGCCACACUGGAACUGAGACACGGUCCAGACUCCUACGGGAGGCAGCAGUAGGGAAUCUUCCGCAAUGGGCGAAAGCUUGACGGAGCAACGCCGCGUGAGUGAUGAAGGUCUUCGGAUCGUAAAACUCUGUUAUUAGGGAAGAACAAAUGUGUAAGUAACUAUGCACGUCUUGACGGUACCUAAUCAGAAAGCCACGGCUAACUACGUG
rnacentral:rRNA from 1 species